AGUUCUGAUAAGUUUGGGGGAUGUGAAUGUGAUCCCAAGUACACCACAUAUGACUACAGCAAUACAACAGUAGAAGCAGGCAAGCAAGUGGGUCUGUGAAGUACAAGGGAGGAGAGAAGGAAGGACAGGAAGUAAAGAGCUAUGGUUGGUUGAUUGAUUGACCCUUUUUUCUCUCUUGCCCCUUGUGGAAGGCAAACUUUGGGUUUUCUGAUUGCACGGAUCUGAAGUCAACUCCACAGACUCUAUUUUAAUGGCCUUCAUCAUUUUAUCUGUUCAACAAAUAAAUUUUUUAUUAUUAUCAGAAAUAUGA